GACGAACGCUGGCGGCGUGCUUAACACAUGCAAGUCGAACGGAAAGACCCUGCUUUUGUGGGGUGCUCGAGUGGCGAACGGGUGAGUAACACGUGAGUAACCUGCCCUUGACUUUGGGAUAACUUCAGGAAACUGGGGCUAAUACCGGAUAGGAGCUCCUGCUGCAUGGUGGGGGUUGGAAAGUUUCGGCGGUUGGGGAUGGACUCGCGGCUUAUCAGCUUGUUGGUGGGGUAGUGGCUUACCAAGGCUUUGACGGGUAGCCGGCCAGAGAGGGUGACCGGCCACAUUGGGACUGAGAUACGGCCCAGACUCCUACGGGAGGCAGCAGUGGGGAAUAUUGCACAAUGGGCGGAAGCCUGAUGCAGCAACGCCGCGUGCGGGAUGACGGCCUUCGGGUUAUAAACCGCUUUCGCCUGUGACGAAGCGUGAGUGACGGUAAUGGGUAAAGAAGCACCGGCUAACUACGUG
rnacentral:rRNA from 1 species